AAGAAUUUAGUUAAACUAUAACAUUGAUUUGUCAAAUCAAAAUUAUUUACAUCAAAUAAUUCUUU
rnacentral:tRNA from 1 species